rnacentral:piRNA from 1 species
GGAACUCACUCUGUAGAUCAGGCUU